GGGGUUUGUCAGUGUAUCAGGGUCCAGCAAUAAAAAACCCCGACUUUCGGGGUUUUUUAUUAUCUAUACUUUUAAGUUAGAUUUUGAGUGUAGAUACAAAUGCUUGGGAUUUAAAUUGGGCUAUAUGCCCUUUUUUU
rnacentral:sRNA from 1 species